ACCCUGGAUGCCUCCUAACACCGGGUCUCUGUCCGUCAGCAGCUGACUUCGUCGGCCUGGGCCCGGGUCCAGGUCCAGGAUCAGAUCAGACUGGUCAGUUUCCUCCAAACAGUCCUGAAUUUGAAGAUUCAACAUUGUUCAGCUCGUGGCCGCUAACGCACUUCCAAACAACGGUCAGCGUUUGACGCCGACGCCUCCAUCUUGGACCUGUCGGUGACAAACUGCUGCUGGUUGCUUCUCUCCGGACUCACUGCUCGGAACCGCACGGCCCAUUGAAGACGCCUCUAACGCCUCGUGCUGAAAUGCACGCGGCUCGAGGAGGACUGUCCGCGGGCACGAGCUCGACGCAGCGGCCGCCUCGCGCCGUCGCCUCGUUCGCUUCUCACCAGGAGUCGCAAAGUUGCAACGAACACAAUGAAACACAACAGACCGGCGCGGUCUGAAACGAAGCCUCGCGCGUUAAUGUUCCGUUCAUUUAACUAGAGUGCAGCUGCGACGUGACGCUACUUCCGGGCUGUUUCUGAGUUCAAAGUAAAAGACUUGAAGCUCUAAUUAAAGCACUAUGACCUGAAAUUGACCACAACCUACGAUAAUAGGUUAGUAAAUUCUACGGCAAAUACUGCAACAAUUACUACAAUAAGUACUACAAUAAGAAAUCAAACUGAGAAAAAGUAUUUUAACAUGCUGCAGAUUUGUUCCACAUGUUUUAUAAAUGAGUUUCCCUCUACUGCUACUUUUUGUAAAGUUAUAAAAAGAAAAGAAAAAAAGAAAAAACCCUGUCAACUGCUACUUCAGAUUAUAUCACCAUAUGCAGCAGUGUCUUAAUAGAUCUUAUGUAAACGCUCAGCUGUGGAAAGGGUUUUGUGGCCAAACAUUUACAAAGAUCUGUUUGGAUUUUGUUGUAGGACACAUGAUGUAAUUUGUCCUUCAACUAAACAAACACAAGACUCCUGUGUUGUGUUUCACAAGCUCAGCUUUAAACAGAGAACGUCAGCAAAUUACAAAGAGAGCAUUUAAAUGAUCUGCUGUUUUUACCUUUAAUGGACCUGAGUUUGUUCUACACUGAUAAUGUUUGGUUGUUAUUCUGCUAAACAACUGAAAAACAACGAUCUACAAAGAA